rnacentral:tRNA from 1 species
GGGGUUGUAGCUCAGUUGGUGGAGAGCUUGCCUCACACGCACAAGGCCCCAGGUUCAAUCCCCAGCACCACCA